rnacentral:rRNA from 1 species
UACAGAGACUGCAAGCGUUAUUCGGAUUCACUGGGCGUAAAGGGUGCGCAGGCGGCCAAGUGUGUGAGGCGUGAAAGCCUGGGGCUUAACUCCGGAAUUGCACCUCAAACUACAUGGCUAGAGCAUUGGAGAGGGUAGCAGAAUUCACGGUGUAGCAGUGAAAUGCGUAGAUAUCGUGAGGAAUACCAGAGGCGAAGGCGGCUACCUGGACAAUUGCUGACGCUCAGGCACGAAAGCGUGGGGAGCAAACAGG